CAUAGCGACUAUCGUGGCAUAUCAAUAAGCGGAGGAAAAGAAACUAACAAGGAUUCCCCUAGUAACGGCGAGUGAAGCGGGAAGAGCUCAAAUUUGAAAUCUUAAAGGGUUUCCCUUUACGAAUUGUAGUUUAAAGAAGUGUUUUCUGUUGGAGUUUCGGUAAAAGUUCUUUGGAAUAGGACAUCAUAGAGGGUGAGAAUCCCGUAUUUGACCGUUACUUUCCUAACUGUGUGAUACACUUUCAAAGAGUCGGAUUGUUUGGGAAUGCAGUCCAAAAUGGGUGGUAAAUUUCAUCUAAAGCUAAAUAUUGGCGAGAGACCGAUAGCGAACAAGUACCGUGAGGGAAAGAUGAAAAGAACUUUGAAAAGAGAGUUAAACAGUACGUGAAAUUGUCAAAAGGGAAGCGUUUGACACCAGUGUUGUUUUUCGAAAAUCAAUUAUGAAUGGUUGAUUUUAAGUAGUAUUGACCUUCAUCAGCUUGUCUUCUUAUUUUCUCAUGUAUUCGUAAUGCACUUUUCAGGUUAACAAGUCAACAGUCAAUUUCUUUUGUUGUAAAAGGGUAAGAGGAGGGUGGCUUGCGCUUCGGCUCAAGUGUUUAUAGCCUUUUACCUCUGCAAUCGGAGAGAUUGAGGUCUGCAGCGUAGACUCUUCGGGGUUAGAUACAUUUAUGCUAAGCUAUAGCCUUGUAUAGACAACUUGUUGACUAUGCUCAGUCAUGUAGCUUACUCGUAGAUGCUAUUUUACCUACGCUUAGGAUGUUGACGCGCGUGUGUGCGUG
rnacentral:rRNA from 1 species